rnacentral:rRNA from 1 species
UACGUAGGGGGCGAGCGUUGUCCGGAAUCAUUGGGCGUAAAGCGCGUGUAGGCGGUCCGGUAAGUCCGCUGUGAAAGUCGGGGGCUCAACCCUCGGAUGCCGGUGGAUACUGUCGGGCUUGAGUACGGAAGAGGCGAGUGGAAUUCCUGGUGUAGCGGUGAAAUGCGCAGAUAUCAGGAGGAACACCAAUUGCGAAGGCAGCUCGCUGGGACGUUACUGACGCUGAGACGCGAAAGCGUGGGGAGCAAAC